CUACGUGCCAGCAGCCGCGGUAAUACGGAAGGUCCAGGCGUUAUCCGGAUUUAUUGGGUUUAAAGGGAGCGUAGGCUGGAGAUUAAGUGUGUUGUGAAAUGUAGACGCUCAACGUCUGAAUUGCAGCGCAUACMUGGUUUCCUUGAGUACGCACAACGUUGGCGGAAUUCGUCGUGUAGCGGUGAAAUGCUUAGAUAUGACGAAGAACUCCGAUUGCGAAGGCAGCUGACGGGAGCGCAACUGACGCUUAAGCUCGAAGGUGCGGGUAUCGAACAGGAUUAGAUACCCUGGUAGUCCGCACAGUAAACGAUGGAUGCCCGCUGUUGGUACCUSGUAUCAGCGGCUAAGCGAAAGCAUUAAGCAUCCCCCCUGGGGAGUACGCCGGCAACGGUGAAACUCAAAGGAAUUGACGGGGGCCCGCACAAGCGGAGGAACAUGUGGUUUAAUUCGAUGAUACGCGAGGAACCUUACCCG
rnacentral:rRNA from 1 species